ensembl:lncRNA EPS15-AS1 EPS15 antisense RNA 1
CUGGCACCAAGACUGGCGGAGCCACCACACCCGUUAAAGGGAUCCACCUGGACAGCGAUCAGGCCACCUCCAAGGAUCACGUAGGACCAGCAGAAGCAGCGUAAAGUAUUGGAACUUUGAAUCUGACAUCAGAAAGACCUGCACUCAGCCGGGCACGGUGGCUCACGAUUGUAAUCCCAGGCCGAGGCGGUGGAUCACUUGAGAUUCACUGAUUCUAGGUAAAUCAGAGGAACAAGCAACAUGAACAGAAAAAAUGUAGAAAAUGCAAUUAUGCUGAAGUACAAUUGUUGUUUCAGAAGUCCAGCAUCUGGUGUACUUAACAAUAGAGAAUAUAUUAAAUUUUUCCAAAAUAAAAAAAACAA